rnacentral:rRNA from 1 species
CCAGGCGACUGUUUAUCAAAAACACAGGGCUCUGCUAAAUCGAGAGAUGAAGUAUAGGGCCUGACACCUGCCCGGUGCCGGAAGGUUAAAGGGAGAUGUUAUCCGCAAGGUGAAGCAUUGAACUGAAGCCCCGGUAAACGGCGGCCGUAACAAUAACGGUCCUAAGGUAGCGAAAUUCCUUGUCGGGUAAGUUCCGACCUGCACGAAUGGCGUAACGAUG